rnacentral:rRNA from 1 species
AGUGAACGCUGGCGGUAGGCCUAACACAUGCGAGUCGAACGGCAGCACAGUAAGAGUUUGCUCUUACGGGUGGCGAGUGGCGGACGGGUGAGGAAUACAUAGGAAUCUACUUUUUCGUGGGGGAUAACGUAGGGAAACUUACGCUAAUACCGCAUACGACCUACGGGUGAAAGCAGGGGAUCUUCGGACCUUUCGCGAUUGAAUGAGCCGAUAUCGGAUUAGCUAGUUUGCGGGGUAAAGGCCCACCAAGGCGACGAAGCGUAGCUGGCCUGAGAGGGUGAGAGGCAAGACUGGAACUGAGACAAGGUCGAGACUACGCAGGGAGGCAGCAGUAGGGAGUCUUGCGCAAUGGGCGAAAGCCUGACGGAGCAACGCCGCGUGAGUAAUGAAGGUCUUCGAAUCGUAAAACUCUGUUAUUAGGGAAGAAAAAAUGUGUACGUAAAUCUGCACGUCUUGACGGUACCUAAUCAGAGAGCCACGGCUAACUACGUG